rnacentral:rRNA from 1 species
CCUACGGGGGGCAGCAGUGGGGAAUAUUGCGCAAUGGGCGAAAGCCUGACGCAGCGACGCCGCGUGAGGGAUGAAGGCUUUCGGGUUGUAAACUUCUUUUGUCAGGGAAGAGUAGAAGACGGUACCUGACGAAUAAGCCACGGCUAACUACGUGCCAGCAGCCGCGGUAAUACGUAGGUGGCAAGCGUUGUCCGGAUUUACUGGGUGUAAAGGGCGUGUAGCCGGGUUGACAAGUCAGAUGUGAAAUCCUGCGGCUUAACCGCAGAACUGCAUUUGAAACUGUUGAUCUUGAGUACUGGAGAGGCAGAUGGAAUUCCUAGUGUAGCGGUGAAAUGCGUAGAUAUUAGGAGGAACACCAGUGGCGAAGGCGGUCUGCUGGACAGCAACUGACGGUGAGGCGCGAAAGCGUGGGGAGCAAACAGGAUUAGAUACCCGUGUAGGUC